rnacentral:rRNA from 1 species
UCCAGGCCCUACGGGGCGCAGCAGGCGCGAAACCUCCGCAAUGCGGGCAACCGCGACGGGGGGACCCCAGUGCCGUGGCACAGCCACGGCUUUUCCGGAGUGUAAAAAGCUCCGGGAAUAAGGGCUGGGCAAGGCCGGUGGCAGCCGCCGCGGUAAUACCGGCGGCCCAAGUGGUGGCCGCUAUUAUUGGGCCUAAAGCGUCCGUAGCCGGGCCCGUAAGUCCCUGGCGAAAUCCCACGGCUCAACCGUGGGGCUUGCUGGGGAUACUGCGGGCCUUGGGACCGGGAGAGGCCGGGGGUACCCCUGGGGUAGGGGUGAAAUCCUAUAAUCCCAGGGGGACCGCCAGUGGCGAAGGCGCCCGGCUGGAACGGGUCCGACGGUGAGGGACGAAGGCCAGGGGAGCGAACCGGAUUAGAUACCCGGGUAGUCCUGGCUGUAAAGGAUGCGGGCUAGUGUCGGGCGAGCUUCGAGCUCGCCCGGUGCCGGAGGGAAGCCGUUAAGCCCGCCGCCUGGGGAGUACGGCCGCAAGGCUGAAACUUAAAGGAAUUGGCGGGGGAGCACUACAAGGGGUGGAGCGUGCGGUUUAAUUGGAUUCAACGCCGGGAACCUCACCGGGGGCGACGGCAGGAUGAAGGCCAGGCUGAAGGUCUUGCCGGACGCGCCGAGAGGAGGUGCAUGGCCGCCGUCAGCUCGUACCGUGAGGCGUCCACUUAAGUGUGGUAACGAGCGAGACCCGCGCCCCCAGUUGCCAGUCCUCCCCGCUGGGGAGGAGGCACUCUGGGGGGACCGCCGGCGAUAAGCCGGAGGAAGGAGCGGGCGACGGUAGGUCAGUAUGCCCCGAAACCCCCGGGCUACACGCGCGCUACAAUGGGCGGGACAAUGGGAACCGACCCCGAAAGGGGAAGGGAAUCCCCUAAACCCGCCCUCAGUUCGGAUCGCGGGCUGCAACUCGCCCGCGUGAAGCUGGAAUCCCUAGUACCCGCGUGUCAUCAUCGCGCGGCGAAUACGUCCCUGCUCCUUGCACUCACCGCCCGUC